rnacentral:rRNA from 1 species
CCUACGGGUGGCAGCAGUGAGGAAUAUUGGUCAAUGGGAGAGAUCCUGAACCAGCCAAGCCGCGUGAGGGAAGACGGCCCUAUGGGUUGUAAACCUCUUUUGUCGGAGAACAAAACCCGGGACGUGUCCCGGACUGCGUGUAUCCGAAGAAAAAGCAUCGGCUAACUCCGUGCCAGCAGCCGCGGUAAUACGGAGGAUGCGAGCGUUAUCCGGAUUUAUUGGGUUUAAAGGGUGCGUAGGCGGUCCGUUAAGUCAGCGGUAAAAUUGCGGGGCUCAACCCCGUCGAGCCGUUGAAACUGGCAGACUUGAGUUGGCGAGAAGUACGCGGAAUGCGCGGUGUAGCGGUGAAAUGCGUAGAUAUAUGGAAGAACCCCAGUGGCGAAAGCGGCUCUCUGGUCUGUAACUGACGCUGAGGUUCGAAAGCGUGGGUAGCAAACAGGAUUAGAUACCCUGGUAGUC